CCUACGGGAGGCAGCAGUGAGGAAUAUUGGUCAAUGGGCGCAAGCCUGAACCAGCCAAGUCGCGUGAGGGAUGACGGUCCUAUGGAUUGUAAACCUCUUUUGUCGGGGAGCAAGGCCCGCCACGUGUGGCGGGAAGGAGAGUACCCGAAGAAAAAGCAUCGGCUAACUCCGUGCCAGCAGCCGCGGUAAUACGGAGGAUCCGAGCGUUAUCCGGAUUUAUUGGGUUUAAAGGGAGCGUAGGUGGAUUGUUAAGUCAGUUGUGAAAGUUUGCGGCUCAACCGUAAAAUUGCAGUUGAAACUGGCAGUCUUGAGUACAGUAGAGGUGGGCGGAAUUCGUGGUGUAGCGGUGAAAUGCUUAGAUAUCACGAAGAACUCCGAUUGCGAAGGCAGCUUACUAAACUAUAACUGACACUGAAGCACGAAAGCGUGGGGAUCAAACAGGAUUAGAUACCCCUGUAGUC
rnacentral:rRNA from 1 species